AUGAGAAAAGUCCCCAAGGAAAUAUCUAGUUCAAGACCAGAAGAAGCACAAGACAUGUUAGAUAAUCAAUGCCCUCGGAGGCACUCCCGCUCACUGCAGGUCCUGGCUCAAGUACUGGAGCAGCAGUAGCAAGCCCAAGCACACUACGAUGCCACGCAGAAGGGCCACGUGCCCCAUUACUUAUUGGAACGCGGGGAUCUGUGGCGGCGGGAGGCUGAGGCCCGCCAGCAGAGCCAGCCAGACCCUACCAUGCCCCCUGGCCACACUCGCAUGCCUGAGAACCAGAGGCUGGAGACACUGAGCAAUCUGCUCCAGAGCCAGAGCCAGUUGCUACGUGAGCUGGUGCUGCUGCCUGCUGGGGCAGAUUCACUCAGGGCGCAGGGCCACCGUGCUGAGCUGGAUCGGAAGCUGGUACAAGUAGAGGAAGCCAUCAGGAUCUUUUCCCGCCCCAAGGUCUUUGUGAAGAUGGAUGCCUGAGCCCUUUUAUGGGGGUAGUUAUGGGGGUCCUCACUGAGAAUCGCCACAUAGUUGCAAAGGGCAAGAUGAGGCCCCAUCCUAGAAUGGAGUCUGAAG